GUAUUCAUUUCAGCAGCACAUGCAAUAAAAUGGAGCAAUGCAGAGAAGAUUAGAUGCCCCUAUACAGGGGUGCCAUGCAGAUUCAUAAAGCAUACUGUUUUGUUUUUU
ensembl:snRNA Gm24878 predicted gene, 24878